UACGGAAUGUGCAAACGUUAUUCGGAAUCACUGGGCUUAAAGAGUCCGUAGGCGGCAUGUUAGGUGAGGUGUGAAAUCCCCCGGCUCAACCGAGGAAUUGCGCUUCAAACCGGCGUGCUUGAGGAAGAUAGAGGUGGGCGGAACUGAUGGUGGAGCGGUGAAAUGCGUAGAGAUGUGGAGGAACACCGAUGGCGAAGGCAGCCUCCUGGGCCAGCACUGACGCUCAUGCACGAAAGCGUGGGGAGCAAACAGG
rnacentral:rRNA from 1 species